GGUCGUGCUGCGGGCAGGCGGCGGACUGCCGCUGGCGCGCCGUCCGAUGACGCAGCCUUAUCAUCGUCACCUUAUCUUUUAGGUUUUUGGGGCGCUGCUGGAGACCCUCCACGUGUCAUCAUAUGAACACCGAGUAGUAUCAGACCAGCCGGAGAUCACAACAAUGUUUGAUGCAUGAUGGAGAGCACUGCAGGGUUUACAACUAUUACCAGACCGUACUGUGAAUGUAAUCAGCCUUAUCUUAAAAGCUUGGUAACCUGGAUGUUGGAUGACCAGUUUCUGAACACUGGGAGAGGACUACAGGGAUAAAGUCAGAUUUUUCACCUGGAAGCUGUUAAGUAUAUUAUAGAUCAUCUCUGCUAUUACUGGGCUAACAAGGGGCAGGGAUCCACCUUUGAUCAUUUAUGUA